AAAUGCCCAGCAGUGAUGAGGCUCCCAUUCCAGAAAACAACGAGGGCAGAUUCAUCCUAGAUCUCUGGGAACUCAAGGCCGGUGGAUGGGACAGCUCAGUCUCCCCUUUCCCAUAGAUGGGAAUAUAGAGGCCAGAGAGACCCACCCUUUUGACCAAAUCACGUGACCAAGAGUGGCACCCUGGAAUUCAGGGCCGUUGCCCUAGCAACUCAUGGGCUCCUUGGAUCUUAACCUGGUGUAACCAUUCCUUUCAUACCCUCUGUCUGCUCAGGAUCUUCCCUGCUUUAUAAGGAGGCUCUUUUCCAGCUCAAAGCCAGGUUCGGGUUUGCCCAGGGCUGCAGGUGGGUUCCAGGAAACUACAGGCACCACCAGCUGGCAAAUAGUUCUCUUUUGAUGACUGUGCUUACAAGGGCCACCCCUGACUUUCUGGUUCCCAAAUAGGCUUGGAGAACCCAAGCAGGUGCUCACAUAUCCAGAGAAAUCUGGGACAAAGAGCUCCAGGAAAACUUGGGGCCAAUGAAUAGAAAGAAGAGGCAGGUUAUAUUGAAAAGAAGAAGAAUUUCAAAACUAGGCCAGCUUCCUAGUGUCUGGUAUAAUAAUAUCAAAACUGCGCUGGGCGCUUAGAACGUGUCCAGCACCUCACAUGCAUGAGUGUAUUGAAUCCCACAGCAGGCCAGUCCUAUUAUUAUUCUGACUUUCCAAGCUGAAGAAAUGGAGACUUUUCAGAGUCACAUGGCUUGCCCAAGUCACCAGCUUGUUAAUCACAGAAGCAGGACUGCAGCCUGGGCCUGUCUCUCCCUGAAGCUGCCUCCUCUCUGGACCUGGACUGAGUCCUGGUGAUCGGGAAGGAGCGGCGGGCACAGGCAAGCCGCUGUCUGCUCAGGCUCGGGUUUCCUCAUCUGUGAAACGGGAACGGAUGUGGCUUCUUAACCAUUACGCUGUGUCCGUCACAGUCAUUCUCACUUCUCGAGUACCCAGUUGGUGGGAGUUCCAGUAUGGCACAGAGAUACAGGAUUGUGUUUUUGUUUUUUCACUCUGGAAUGAUCUUAGAGAAAUUUGAUGGGAAAAAUGAGAGCAGGGAAGGGUCAAAGGCCAGAGGUCCAGCCCUGCAUUUUCCAGGGUUGUGAUCUUUGCGUUUCGUCUCCUCAGCUGCAAGAUGAGUCACGGUUCUACUUCCCCUGGAAGGGCAGAAGUUGCAUAAGAUUGUUGAGGCUCAAGCGAGAUAAUGUGUGAGGCUGUUACUCCAGACUAGAGCCUUGAUUUUUAAACUUCAGCGUGCAUCAGAAUCGCCUGGAAGGUUUGUUAGAACCCCGCCCCCAGAGUUUCUCCUUCAGGGGGUCCAGGGUGGGCCUGAGAGUUUCUGAAGUGUUCCCAGGGGUUGCCGAUGCUGCUAGUCCAGGCACUAUAUUUAGGGAACCCCCGUCCUAAAGCCUCACCAAUUGAAUCUCCUAAGAUGAUGAAGAUGGCCUACAUCUGUGCUGUCCUAAACGGUAGCCAACAGCCACACGUGGCUACUGAGAACUCGGAGUGUGGCUAGCACGCCUGAGGACCCGAAUUUAAAAAACAGUUAAUUUUAAUUAACUUAAAUUUAAAUAGCCACGUAUGGUUGGUGGCCAGCGUUUUGGACAGUGUUGUUCUAGAGCUCAUCUGAGUUUGCAGAUGAAGAAACCGAGGCUUUGAGAGGUACCUCCCCUCCCUUGGAGUCUCAUGGCAAUCCUGGGGUGGUGCUCCGGCUGGCUGGCCUUCUUGAACAGGUCCUGUGAUAUGGGAACAUUUGAGUGCUUUGGGGGUGUCUUUGUUGCUUUGAGUUCCAGGUAGCUGAAAGGAGUGGGCUGGAAGGGGACGGGGAGACCCAUUUGCUGGCUCAUGACAAAGAUGAGAGCUGCAGACACAGCGCACAGCGGCAGGAAAAGGCUAAAUGAAAGAGGAUCAUCAGAGCGAAUCACGCUACUGCUCAGAAUGACCAGCUCUUCGGGAUUGAAGAAAGCUUCCUUCAUCCUGUCCUUGGCCUCCGUGGUCAAAGAGCUUCAGGGGCCUUGCUGACCUCCUUCCUCUCCAUUUUGCUGUGCCCUCUCACUGUCCCUGAACUUGAGAUCCUGGAGGUUUAGCUGUGCUCUGGGUCCCUUGAAGACUUCGGAGGCAAUCCACUAAGAAAUGGGGAUUUAAGUGAGACAUGAAGAAGAACUUCCUUAUGGCAAGAACUAUAAGAUGUUGAAGACAAGACACAGUAUUGGGAGUAAAGGCGGUGAGGCACGGAAAUAUAUUUACCAACACCCAGGGAACCGAGUCUUCUCCCCCAGGAUCCCUGCUCUGCUCGUUCAGGUGAGUGGUUACUUGCGGGGAGGACUGCCCUUCCUCCCAUCAUCUCCUGCUAGCCAGCUGUGUGCAGGAGACAACACCUUAUGAUAUUAUGUUUGCAGACAAGCUCACACCUUUCGGUGAAGAGAAAUUCAGGCAAAGGGCCCGAGGGAAUGCAAAGCACUCGGCUUUUCCUGUUGCUUUCCUGGGAGUUAUCAGGAAAGCUUCCCUCAUGCCUGUGCAUGGUGGGCCCCUGUUUUAGACCCUGACCUUCGUCCCCAGGAGGGCCUGUCAUGACCUGAAAGAGGAGGACAAAUCUCAGACCCCUUCCUGCCCCAGCGGGCCUCCUGCCCCAGCUGACCUGGGUCCCUUCCCUCCCUCCUGUCCUCCCUCUCUGGGCUGUCCCUUGCCUUCCCUCUCUGCCCUGCCUCUCCACAUUGAUCUCGUGCCUUCCUCCCAAGCAGCUUUCCUGUAAGAUCGCAGCUCAGCUCCGCUGGCAGACAACCUAACAAAGAGCCUCAAUAAGGCCAGACCCGCAGGCGGCUUAUCAAGAUGUACGUCUUUGCUGUGCACACAGACUGUCACCUCGGUGCUGCUGUGUCAUCACAGAAGGCAAAACCAAACAACUGUGCAUGCACACACACAUACAUGCACACACAUGGACACACACAUAUAUGCACACACGGACACACAUGCAUGCACACACACUUGCACACACAUACCCAUGCACGCACACAUGGACACACAGGCAUACGCACACACUUGCACACACAUGCAUAUACACGUGCACCAUGCACAUGCACACAUACGUACACACACAUGCACAUACAUAGCAUGCACAUGAACAUAUGAGUUUGCACACUGUUGAGUGCUGUGGUCCCAGGAGUCAGAAGCUCCAGCUUUGCCCUCCUAGCCCUUUAUCUGCUUCUCUUUCCUCCUCCUCUGUCUUGAGAACCUAACCAGGAGACUGCGUGUUGCACGGGAUAGGGACUGUGGGGCAUGAGAGGGAUCAUCUUUUGUAACACAAGCUGAGGACCCGACAGGUGCACAGCGAAUACUUAGGUCACAGAAGGCCAGUGCCAGAAGGGAGACCAGAGAUCUCAACCCAUCUCCUCAUUCUGCAGGGCAGGAAUCCCAGCCAGCACAAGGCCCAGGGCUGCUGAGUGAACUCACUAGCUAGCUAGUCACUGAGCAACAGAGUCUGGAGUCUGGGUCCCCUGAUGCCCAGUCUUGAGCUCUUUCAUGUCCUCCAUUCCUCACUCAGUUGACACGAAGGCACUGGGGCCUGAAGGACACGGAACAGGUGAGGCCAGUCCCCCUGCUUGAACAGCUCUGUGUAGGAAAGGAGAUGACUCCCUCUCCCCUCUCCCCUCUCCCCACGGUCUCCCUCUCCCUCUCUUUCCCCGGUCUCCCUCUGAUGCCGAGCCGAAGCUGGACUGUACUGCUGCCAUCUCGGCUCACUGCAACCUCCCUGCCUGAUUCUCCUGCCUCAGCCUGCCAAGUGCCUGCGAUUGCAGGCGUGCGCCGCCACGCCUGACUGGUUUUCAUAUUUUUUUGGUGGAGACGGGGUUUCGCUGUGUUGGCCGGGCUGGUCUCCAGCUCCUAACCGCGAGUGAUCCGCCA
rnacentral:lncRNA from 10 species